rnacentral:rRNA from 1 species
AGGUGGUUAUGUAAGUCUGAUGUGAAAAUGCAGGGCUCAACUCUGUAUUGCGUUGGAAACUGUAUAACUAGAGUACUGGAGAGGUAAGCGGAACUACAAGUGUAGAGGUGAAAUUCGUAGAUAUUUGUAGGAAUGCCGAUGGGGAAGCCAGCUUACUGGACAGAUACUGACGCUGAAGCGCGAAAGCGUGGGUAGCAAGCAGGAUUAGAUACCCUGGUAGUCCACGCCGUAAACGAUGAUUACUAGGUGUUGGGGGUCGAACCUCAGCGCCCAAGCAAACGCGAUAAGUAAUCCGCCUGGGGAGUACGUACGCAAGUAUGAAACUCAAAGGAAUUGACGGGGACCCGCACAAGCGGUGGAGCAUGUGGUUUAAUUCGACGCAACGCGAGGAACCUUACCAGCGUUUGACAUCUUAGGAAUGAGGUAGAGAUAUUUCAGUGUCCCUUCGGGGAAACCUAAAGACAGGUGGUGCAUGGCUGUCGUCAGCUCGUGUCGUGAG